GUGUAUGUGCGUGUGCGAGAAAUGAUCGGCAAGAGACGGGUUUAAAGGGAAACGCUAGGUGGAGAAAUGUCCGUGUGCCAUCGGCCUGGCGUGUGCACCCGCUUUGCCGUCAGCAGAACUAGCAGGUUCUUCACUGAGUGACAGCUGACUCUGAAAGGACUGCGAGAGAAACACAUGAAUACAUGAUGCUUCUCACAGGGGUCAUACAAUAAACUAUUCCCCUCUAUCAACUUAUAAUGUCUGUAAAGGUUUCUCACACCCCAAACAAGUCAAUAUUUAGCUUUUGCAUUCAGGUAUGGCGGACGACUCCAUAUACUGAAACAUCGAAAUCGCCGAUUGGUUGAAACUUAAGUGGCCUUGAUGACAUCAGCAGGAAGGUAAAGCCAGGUCCGCUGCUCGGCCAUCUCCAGCCCGUUCAUGAGCGGUCCUGAUGGAGAGGGUUUGGGCUGCGGAGAGACCACGGUCAGCGCAGGAAGACUGGCCAGCACUGAGGAGGAGAAACAC